GAUGAACGCUAGCGGCAGGCUUAACACAUGCAAGUCGAGGGGCAGCGCGGGUAGCAAUACCUGGCGGCGACCGGCAAACGGGUGCGGAACACGUACAGAACCUACCUUUGUCUGGGGCAUAGCCCGGAGAAAUCCGGAUUAACUCCCCAUAAUAUAUUUGAGUGGCAUCACUUGGAUAUUAAAAAUUUAUUGGACAGAGAUGGCUGUGCGUCCCAUUAGCUAGUUGGUAGGGUAACGGCCUACCAAGGCAACGAUGGGUAGCUGGUGUGAGAGCACGACCAGCCACACGGGCACUGAGACACGGGCCCGACUCCUACGGGAGGCAGCAGUGAGGAAUAUUGGUCAAUGGACGCAAGUCUGAACCAGCCAUGCCGCGUGAAGGAUGAAGGCCUUCUGGGUUGUAAACUUCUUUACCUGGGAAGAAACUACGAUUUCUAUCGUAGCCGACGGUACCAGAGGAAUAAGCACCGGCUAACUCCGUGUCAGCAGCCGCGGUAAACGU
rnacentral:rRNA from 1 species